UUUGUGACAUCUAGGUGCUUU
rnacentral:miRNA from 1 species